UACGAAGGGGGCUAGCGUUGCUCGGAAUGACUGGGCGUAAAGGGCGCGUAGGCGGCACUGUUAGUCAGGCGUGAAAGUCCUGGGCUCAACCUGGGAACUGCGCUUGAUACGGCAGAGCUAGAGGAUGGAAGAGGGUCGCGGAAUUCCCAGUGUAGAGGUGAAAUUCGUAGAUAUUGGGAAGAACACCGGUGGCGAAGGCGGCGACCUGGUCCAUUACUGACGCUGAGGCGCGACAGCGUGGGGAGCAAACAGG
rnacentral:rRNA from 1 species